AAAGUCGAGUAUUGCACGUCAUGGGUUAGAAAAACAGAUGGAUUCAAGUGAUUUACAGUGCUGAUAAAUUCUGGAGUAGAAGAAGUUGAGAAACCUGAAUGACCCAGAUAUUGAGAAGUGUUUCGAUGCAGAAGAACCCAGCACCAAUGAAAUACAUUAUCUGUGAGGGUGAAAAAGAAGAAAAUUAGGUGAGGACUAAGAAGACUCUCACAAUCCGAAGUAAAGUACUUGUAAAUAGACAGAAAGGUUACGUACCCCGACUGCAGCAUUAGUAGUUAGAAGCUCGAUUGCUGGCAAGAAACCUCUGUUCAUAUAACCAACAAUGCAUGGAUCAGAUGGAGAUCAUCAAAGACUCAAAAGGUUUUUAACAUGUUCAUGAAAUGACGAAUCGUUAAAGAAUGUAAAACUUAAAAGGCUGAUUCUGAUGCUUUUAUCUAGAAGAAAACUCUUACGUGAGAGACUUUCCUUGGAAGAUGACUGGUGGAGCAACUGCAGCAAAGCCGCAGAACGCGAUGUGGAACUGAAAAGUGCAAGACACGGGUUUAUUUACUCAUGGCUUCUUGAAAAACUUAAAUGCAGAGGAAAUCUACCAAUAGAAAUUCGGUUUUCUUACCACGUAAAAAAAGAAAAAAGCUCCAAACUUCAGGGCACUAUCAGUUCUGCAAGAGCUCGGUAAAGAGGACGGUACCAUAAGACGUACGCUCCAGGUACCCCAGCAAGGAAGUAAAUUAUUGAGAGAAGCCAUAUAGUGGGACCUGAUUACAAAACAGAACACAUCAGAUGAUUCAACAUGGUCAGAGGAAUUAACAUUACGAAUCUGAUCGUUUAGGUAAAAACAGUAACCUUCUCCUUUGAUCCAAGCUACAGUUACUGCCACAAUAUUCCACAAGAGACAUCCUACUAACCCUGCAUAGUUCAAGAAUUUACCCUGUUAACAUUUUCUUGAUUUUUUUGCAGCGGUCUAAGAAGGGUUCACAUACCUAACAAUGUGGUGAAUGCGACGUAUUGGAUCUUCUGUAAAUGAAUUGGAAUCUCAUUUGGAAUGUCAUGAUGAAUUAAAGGAAAAAACUCCGGCCAAUUCUUCUCUUCAAUGACAACUCCAGCUGCCAAAACAACCGUAUCAAAAACUUAUUCAAUAACAGAGUUUUUGGAGUUGGUUGGUGAAUUUUGACAGAAAUCGAAAAUGGGAAGAAACUGGUUUGAACGAAUGGAUACUUUGUAGU
rnacentral:lncRNA from 1 species